rnacentral:rRNA from 1 species
UACGUAGGGGGGCAAGCGUUGUCCGGAUUUAUUGGGCGUAAAGAGCGUGUAGGCGGUUUGGUAGGUCCGUUGUGAAAACUCGAGGCUCAACCUCGAGACGCCGAUGGAAACCAUCAGACUAGAGUCCGGAAGAGGAGAGUGGAAUUCCUGGUGUAGCGGUGAAAUGCGCAGAUAUCAGGAGGAACACCAAUGGCGAAGGCAGAUCUCUGGGCCGUAACUGACGCUGAGGAGCGAAAGCAUGGGGAGCGAACAGG